GAGUUUGAUCGUGGCUCAGGAUGAACGCUAGCGGCAGGCCUAAUACAUGCAAGUCGAACGGUAAGUUGAGUAGCAAUACUUGACCUAGAGUGACGUACGGGUGCGUAACACGUAUGCAACCUACCCAAAACAGGAGUAUAGCUCGGGGAAACUCGAAUUAACACUUCAUAGUAUCAUUUGGUGGCAUCAUUAGAUGAUUAAAACUACGGUGGUUUUGGAUGGGCAUGCGUCUGAUUAGUUAGUUGGCGGGGUAAUGGCCCACCAAGGCGAUGAUCAGUAGGGGAACUGAGAGGUUGAUCCCCCACACUGGCACUGAGAUACGGCCCAGACUCCUACGGGAGGCAGCAGUGGGGAAUAUUGGACAAUGGGGGCAACCCUGAUCCAGCAAUGCCGCGUGAGUGACGAAGGCCUUAGGGUUGUAAAGCUCUUUUGCCAGGGACGAUGAUGACGGUACCUGGAGAAUAAGCCCCGGCUAACUUCGUGCCAGCAGCCGCCGCAGU
rnacentral:rRNA from 1 species